rnacentral:rRNA from 1 species
AUUGAACGCUGGCGGCAUGCUUUACACAUGCCAGUCGAACGGCAGCGCGGGCUUCGGCCUGGCGGCGAGUGGCGAACGGGUGAGUAAUGCAUCGGAACGUGCCCAGUAGUGGGGGAUAGCCCGGCGAAAGCCGGAUUAAUACCGCAUACGACCUGAGGGUGAAAGCGGGGGACCGAAAGGCCUCGCGCUAUUGGAGCGGCCGAUGUCGGAUUAGCUAGUUGGUGGGGUAAAGGCUUACCAAGGCGACGAUCCGUAGCUGGUCUGAGAGGACGACCAGCCACACUGGGACUGAGACACGGCCCAGACUCCUACGGGAGGCAGCAGUGGGGAAUUUUGGACAAUGGGGGCAACCCUGAUACAGCCAUGCCGCGUGCGGGAAGAAGGCCUUCGGGUUGUAAACCGCUUUUGUUCGGGAAGAAAUCCUCUGGGCUAAUACCCCGGGGGGAUGACGGUACCGGAAGAAUAAGCACCGGCUAACUACGUG